rnacentral:rRNA from 1 species
GAGUUUGAUCAUGGCUCAGGACGAACGCUGGCGGCACGCCUAACACAUGCAAGUCGAACGGAGAUAUUUUGGUUUACUGAGAUAUYUUAGUGGCGGACGGGUGAGUAACACGUGAGCAACCUGCCUYUGAGAGAGGGAUAGCUUCUGGAAACGGAUGGUAAUACCUCAUAACAUAACGAAGCCGCAUGACUUUGUUAUCAAAGAUUUAUCACUCAGAGAUGGGCUCGCGUYUGAUUAGAUAGUUGGUGAGGUAACGGCCCACCAAGUCGACGAUCAGUAGCCGGACUGAGAGGUUGAACGGCCACAUUGGGACUGAGACACGGCCCAGACUCCUACGGGAGGCAGCAGUGGGGAAUAUUGCACAAUGGGGGAAACCCUGAUGCAGCGAUGCCGCGUGGAGGAAGAAGGUUUUCGGAUUGUAAACUCCUUGUCUAAAGGACGAUAAUGACGGUACU